rnacentral:tRNA from 1 species
UUUAAAGUGGCAGAUUAAUUGCGAGGGAUUUAAGCUCCCUCUAUGAAUAUUUCCUUUAAAA